UGGGGAAUUUUGGACAAUGGGGGAAACCCUGAUCCAGCCAUCCCGCGUGUGCGAUGAAGGCCUUCGGGUUGUAAAGCACUUUUGGCAGGAAAGAAACGUCGCGGGUUAAUACCCCGCGGAACUGACGGUACCUGCAGAAUAAGCACCGGCUAACUACGUGCCAGCAGCCGCGGUAAUACGUAGGGUGCAAGCGUUAAUCGGAAUUACUGGGCGUAAAGCGUGCGCAGGCGGUUCGGAAAGAAAGAUGUGAAAUCCCAGAGCUUAACUUUGGAACUGCAUUUUUAACUACCGGGCUAGAGUGUGUCAGAGGGAGGUGGAAUUCCGCGUGUAGCAGUGAAAUGCGUAGAUAUGCGGAGGAACACCGAUGGCGAAGGCAGCCUCCUGGGAUAACACUGACGCUCAUGCACGAAAGCGUGGGGAGCAAACAGGAUUAGAUACCCUGGUAGUCCACGCCCUAAACGAUGUCAACUAGCUGUUGGGGUCUUCGGACCUUGGUAGCGCAGCUAACGCGUGAAGUUGACCGCCUGGGGAGUACGGUCGCAAGAUU
rnacentral:rRNA from 1 species